rnacentral:rRNA from 1 species
AGAACGAACGCUGGCGGCAUGCCUAAUACAUGCAAGUCGAACGAAGGCUUCGGCCUUAGUGGCGCACGGGUGCGUAACGCGUGGGAAUCUGCCCCUUGGUUCGGAAUAACAGUUGGAAACGACUGCUAAUACCGGAUGAUGACGAAAGUCCAAAGAUUUAUCGCCAAGGGGUGAGCCCGCGUAGGAUUAGCUAGUUGGUGAGGUAAAGGCUCACCAAGGCGACGAUCCUUAGCUGGUCUGAGAGGAUGACCAGCCACACUGGGACUGAGACACGGCCCAGACUCCUACGGGAGGCAGCAGUAGGGAAUAUGGACAAUGGGCGAAAGCCUGAUCCAGCAAUGCCGCGUGAGUGAUGAAAGGCCUUAAGGGUUGUAAAAGCUCUUUUAACCCGAGAUGAAUAAAUGACAGUAAUCGGGAGAAAUAAAGCCCCGGCUAAACUCCGCGCCAGCAGCCGC